UAGGGAAUCUUCCGCAAUGGGCGAAAGCCUGACGGAGCAACGCCGCGUGAGUGAUGAAGGUCUUCGGAUCGUAAAACUCUGUUAUUAGGGAAGAACAAAUGUGUAAGUAACUAUGCACGUCUUGACGGUACCUAAUCAGAACGCCACGGCUAACUACGUGCCAGCAGCCGCGGUAAUACGUAGGUGGCAAGCGUUAUCCGGAAUUAUUGGGCGUAAAGCGCGCGUAGGCGGCUUUUUAAGUCUGAUGUGAAAGCCCACGGCUCAACCGGGGAGGGUCAUUGGAAACUGGAACACGUGAGUGCGGAAGAGGAAAGUGGAAUUCCAUGUGUAGCGGUGAAACGCGCAGAGAUAUGGAGGAACACCAGUGGCGAAGGCGACUUUCUGGUCUGUAACUGACGCUGAUGUGCGAAAGCGUGGGGAUCAAACAGG
rnacentral:rRNA from 1 species